UUUGCAAUAAACUUUCACUGUCACACGUUCUCAUGUUGAUGCCGGAGCUUGCAAUCACUACUUUCUCCACUUUUUCAGGCCACAUUUUUGCCAUAUGGUACGCCACAAAUCCGCCAUAGCUUGUUCCAACUACAUUAAACUUCUUCUCUAUUCCUAGUUUCUCCAUUAGCUUUGCCAUACACUCCGCCUAAUAAUUUAUUUUUUGUUUCUAAUAAGAAUGUGUUUAUAUACUAAAAUGAGUUCAUAUAUGAUAUAAAAAGAGCAAACACAUCAAAUUUCUAAAGAAUAUCCAUCCAGUAUGGACUAACUUUUAUGUUUCCUUUCAAGUUUGAUUUAUAUCAAAUAUAUUAAUCAGUAGAAUUUAAGAAUAGUUACAAAUUUACAAUAUAUAUAUAUAUAUAUAUAUAUAUAUGUUAAGUAGAAUAAAAUUCAAAUUAGUCGACAAAAAAAGAGAAAAAAAAUCAUAUUAAGAAUUAAGUUCCAAAUAUAUUUUUCCCAUAUGUUAAAAGGGCAUAUGUAAAUAAAUUAAUCUUCUGUUUUUAUAUUUACUAAAACUACUUUUCACGUGACCAGAAAACAAUACUAGUUCAAAUCCAAUCAUCCUAGUGGAAAACAUGUGGAAGCAAAAGAGUCAUAUAUACCUGGAAGACCUCGGAACGAUUGGUGGAUGAAGUGGUAGAGUCACC
rnacentral:lncRNA from 1 species